rnacentral:tRNA from 1 species
GGUGUAGCUCAGUAGUGAGGCACGUGCCUAGCGUGCACGAGGUUCUGGGUUCAAGUCCCAGUACC